AUUGAACGCUGGCGGCAGGCCUAACACAUGCAAGUCGAAUGGUAACAGGAAACAGCUUGCUGUUUCGCUGACGAGUGGCGGACGGGUGAGUAAUGUCUGGGAAACUGCCUGAUGGAGGGGGAUAACUACUGGAAACGGUAGCUAAUACCGCAUAACGUCGCAAGACCAAAGAGGGGGACCUUCGGGCCUCUUGCCAUCAGAUGUGCCCAGAUGGGAUUAGCUAGUAGGUGGGGUAACGGCUCACCUAGGCGACGAUCCCUAGCUGGUCUGAGAGGAUGACCAGCCACACUGGAACUGAGACACGGUCCAGACUCCUACGGGAGGCAGCAGUGGGGAAUAUUGCACAAUGGGCGCAAGCCUGAUGCAGCCAUGCCGCGUGUAUGAAGAAGGCCUUCGGGUUGUAAAGUACUUUCAGCGGGGAGGAAGGGAGUAAAGUUAAUACCUUUGCCCAUUGACGUUACCCGCAGAAGAAGCACCGGCUAACUCCGU
rnacentral:rRNA from 1 species